rnacentral:ncRNA from 1 species
GUUAUUUGAGGUGGUAAAUUUCGUUGCGACCACACGCCGAUGGCUUGACAAAGGGAAACCUUGAGAGAUGCAGGAGAUGCGACGCCUGCCAAAUAAC